rnacentral:tRNA from 1 species
GCUUUCGUGGUGUAGUGGUGAGCACGCUGGGCUCGUAUUCCAGAGGUACGUGGUUCGAGUACCGGCGAAGGCG